rnacentral:rRNA from 1 species
GGGGGGGGUGUCGGAGUACUGGGCGUAAGCGCACGCAGGCGGUCGUGUAAGUUUGGGGUUACAGCUCCCGGCUCAACUGGGAGAGCGCCUUGAAGACUGCAGGACUUGAGGACCAGAGAGGGACACAGAAUUCCGGGUGUAGUGGUGAAAUGCGUAGAUAUCCGGAGGAAUACCAAAGGCGAAGGCAGUGUCCUGGCUGGUGACUGACGCUGAGGUGCGAAAGCUAGGGGAGCGAACGGGAUUAGAUACCCCGGUAGUCCUAGCCGUAAACGAUGACCACUAGGUGUGGGAGGUAUCGACCCCUUCCGUGCCGCAGCUAACGUGAUAAGUGGUCCGCCUGGGGAGUACGGUCGCAAGAUUAAAACUCAAAGGAAUUGACGGGGACCCGCACAAGCAGCGGAGCGUGUGGUUUAAUUCGAAGCAACGCGAAGAACCUUACCAGGGUUUGACAUGGAUGCGCACCAUCCAGAGAUGGGUGUGCCCGCAAGGGACGCAUUCACAGGUGCUGCAUGGCUGUCGUCAGCUCGUGCCGUGAGGUGUUGGGUUAAGUCCCGCAACGAGCGCAACCCUUGUCGUCGGUUGGAUUUCUCCGACGAGACUGCCGCGAUCAACGUGGAGGAAGGUGGGGAUGACGUCAAGUCAGCACGGCCCUUACAUCCUGGGCGACACACACGCUACAAUGGCCGGUACAGAGGGUGGCCAACCCGCGAGGGGGAGCUAAUCCCAGCAAAACCGGUCUCAGUUCGGAUUGUAGGCUGCAACCCGCCUGCAUGAAGUUGGAGUUGCUAGUAACCGUGAGUCAGCACAUCACGGUGAAUACGUUCCCGGGUCUUGUACACACCGCCCGUCACACCACGAAAGUCGGCAACACCUGAAGCCGCUGGGCUAACCCCUUCAGUGGGGAGGCAGGCGUCGAGGGUGGGGUUGGUGAUUGGGGUGAAGUCGUAACAAGGUAACC